rnacentral:rRNA from 1 species
UCGGGAAUUUUGGGCAAUGGGGGAAACCCUGACCCAGCAACGCCGCGUGAAGGAUGAAGUAUUUCGGUAUGUAAACUUCGAAAGAAUAGGAAGAAUAAAUGACGGUACUAUUUAUAAGGUCCGGCUAACUACGUGCCAGCAGCCGCGGUAAUACGCAGGGACCAAGCGUUGUUCGGAUUUACUGGGCGUAAAGGGCGCGUAGGCGGCAUGACAAGUCACUUGUGAAAUCUCUGGGCUUAACCCAGAACGGCCAAGUGAUACUGUCGCGCUAGAGUGCAGAAGGGGCAAUCGGAAUUCUUGGUGUAGCGGUGAAAUGCGUAGAUAUCAAGAGGAACACCUGAGGUGAAGACGGGUUGCUGGGCUGACACUGACGCUGAGGCGCGAAAGCCAGGGGAGCAAACGGGAUUAGAUACCCAAGUAGUCCCUGAGCGGGCUGGCAAGGCGCAU